GACGAACGCUGGCGGCGUGCUUAACACAUGCAAGUCGAACGGAAAGGCCCUGCUUUUGUGGUGUGCUCGAGUGGCGAACGGGUGAGUAACACGUGAGUAACCUGCCCUUGACUUUGGGAUAACUUCAGGAAACUGGGGCUAAUACCGGAUAGGAGCUCCUGCUGCAUGGUGGGGGUUGGAAAGUUUCGGCGGUUGGGGAUGGACUCGCGGCUUAUCAGCUUGUUGGUGGGGUAGUGGCUUACCAAGGCUUUGACGGGUAGCCGGCCUGCGAGGGUGACCGGCCACAUUGGGACUGAGAUACGGCCCAGACUCCUACGGGAGGCAGCAGUGGAGAAUAUUGCACAAUGGGCGGAAGCCUGAUGCAGCAACGCCGCGUGCGGGAUGACGGCCUUCGGGUUGUAAACCGCUUUCGCCUGUGACGAAGCGUGAGUGACGGUAAUGGGUAAAGAAGCACCGGCUAACUACGUG
rnacentral:rRNA from 1 species